UACGUAGGGGGCAAGCGUUGUCCGGAAUCAUUGGGCGUAAAGCGCGUGUAGGCGGCCCGAUAAGUCCGCUGUGAAAGUCCAGGGCUCAACCCUGGGAUGCCGGUGGAUACUGUCGGGCUCGAGUCCGGAAGAGGAGUGUGGAAUUCCUGGUGUAGCGGUGAAAUGCGCAGAUAUCAGGAGGAACACCAAUGGCGAAGGCAGCUCGCUGGGACGGUACUGACGCUGAGACGCGAAAGCGUGGGGAGCAAACAGG
rnacentral:rRNA from 1 species